GGAUUGCCCUAGUAACGGCGAGUGAAGCGGCAACAGCUCAAAUUUGAAAUCUGGCUUUCGGGCCCGAGUUGUAAUUUGUAGAGGAUACUUUUGAUGCGGUGCCUUCCGAGUUCCCUGGAACGGGACGCCAUAGAGGGUGAGAGCCCCGUCUGGUUGGAUGCCAAAUCUCUGUAAAGUUCCUUCGACGAGUCGAGUAGUUUGGGAAUGCUGCUCUAAAUGGGAGGUAUAUGUCUUCUAAAGCUAAAUAUUGGCCAGAGACCGAUAGCGCACAAGUAGAGUGAUCGAAAGAUGAAAAGCACUUUGAAAAGAGAGUUAAAAAGUACGUGAAAUUGUUGAAAGGGAAGCGUUUAUGACCAGACUUGGACUUGGUUAAUCAUCUGGGGUUCUCCCCAGUGCACUUUUCCAGUUCAGGCCAGCAUCAGUUUUCGCCGGGGGAUAAAGGCUUCGGGAAUGUAGCUCUCUUCGGGGAGUGUUAUAGCCCGUUGUGUAAUACCCUGGCGGAGACUGAGGUUCGCGCUUCUGCAAGGAUGCUGGCGUAAUGGUCAUCAACGACCC
rnacentral:rRNA from 1 species